rnacentral:rRNA from 1 species
UACGGAGGAUGCAAGCGUUAUCCGGAUUUAUUGGGUUUAAAGGGUGCGCAGGCGGAAAAAUAAGUCAGUGGUGAAAACCUGCAGCUUAACUGUAGAAUUGCCAUUGAUACUGUUAUUCUUGAGUAUGGUCAAGGUAGGCGGAAUGUGUAAUGUAGCGGUGAAAUGCUUAGAUAUUACACAGAACACCGAUUGCGAAGGCAGCUUACUGGGCCAUUACUGACGCUCAUGCACGAAAGCGUGGGGAUCGAACAGG